AACACACCAGGUCCAGCACUCCCCAAUAACACACCAGGUCCAGCACUCCCCAAUAACACACCAGGUCCAGCACUCCCCAAUAACACACCAGGUCCAGCACUCCCCAAUAACACACCAGGUCCAGCACUCCCCAAUAACACACCUCCCCAAUAACACACCAGGUUCAGCACUCCCCAAUAACACACCUCACCAAUAACACACCAGGUCCAGCACUCCCCAAUAACACACCUCACCAAUAACACACCUCACCAAUAACACACCAGGUUCAGCACUCCCCAAUAACACACCUCACCAAUAACACACCAGGUCCAGCACUCCCCAAUAACACACCUCACCAAUAACACACCAGGUUCAGCACUCCCCAAUAACACACCUCUCCAAUAACACACCAG
ensembl:lncRNA